rnacentral:tRNA from 1 species
UGCUAGGUGGCUGAGUAAAGGCGGUAGACUGUAGAUCUAUUAACGGAUUUAGAUUUUUCCCCAGCUG